ACGUACGCUGGCGGCACGCCUAACACAUGCAAGUCGAACGAAGUAGCAAUACUUAGUGGCAGACGGGUGAGUAACAUGUAGGUAUCUGCCCUUUGGCCUGGAAUAACACGAGGAAACUUGUGCUAAUACCGGAUAAGUCUUUACGGAGAAAGCUUUAUGCACCAUUGGAUGAGCCUGCACUUGAUUAGUUUGUUGGUGGGGUAAUGGCCUACCAAGACUGUGAUCAAUAGCUGAUUUGAGAGGAUGAUCAGCCACAUUGGGACUGAGACACGGCCCAAACUCCUACGGGAGGCAGCAGUGGGGAAUCUUGCACAAUGGAGGAAACUCUGAUGCAGCGAUGCCGCGUGAGUGAAGAAGGCCUUUGGGUUGUAAAGCUCUUUCGUCGGGGAAGAAAAUGACUGUACCCGAAUAAGAAGGUCCGGCUAACUUCGUGCCAGCAGCCGCGGUAAUACGAAGGGACCUAGCGUAGUUCGGAAUUACUGGGCUUAAAGAGUUCGUAGGUGGUUGAAAAAGUUGGUGGUGAAAUCCCAGAGCUUAACUCUGGAACUGCCAUCAAAACUUUUCAGCUAGAGUAUGAUAGAGGAAAGCAGAAUUUCUAGUGUAGAGGUGAAAUUCGUAGAUAUUAGAAAGAAUACCAAUUGCGAAGGCAGCUUUCUGGAUCAUUACUGACACUGAGGAACGAAAGCAUGGGUAGCGAAGAGGAUUAGAUACCCUCGUAGUCCAUGCCGUAAACGAUGUGUGUUAGACGUUGGAAAUUUAUUUUCAGUGUCGCAGCGAAAGCGAUAAACACACCGCCUGGGGAGUACGACCGCAAGGUUAAAACUCAAAUGAAUUGACGGGGACCCGCACAAGUAGUGGAGCAUGUGGUUUAAUUCGAAGAUACGCGCAGAACCUUACCAACACUUGACAUGUUCGUCGCGACUCUAAGAGAUUAGAGUUUUCGGUUCGGCCGGACGAAACACAGGUGCUGCAUGGCUGUCGUCAGCUCGUGUCGUGAGAUGUUGGGUUAAGUCCCGCAACGAGCGCAACCCUCACUUUUAGUUGCCAUCAUUAAGUUGGGCACUCUGAAAGAACUGCCAGUGAUAAGCUGGAGGAAGGUGGGGAUGACGUCAAGUCCUCAUGGCCCUUACGUGUUGGGCUACACACGUGCUACAAUGGUAUCUACAACAGGAAGCAAGACUGCGAAGUUAAGCAAAUCCCUAAAAGAUACCUCAGUUCGGAUUGCACUCUGCAACUCGAGUGCAUGAAGCUGGAAUUACUAGUAAUCGUGGAUCAGCGUGCCACGGUGAAUGCGUUCCCGGGUCUUGUACACACCGCCCGUCAAG
rnacentral:rRNA from 1 species